CCUACGGGUGGCAGCAGUGAGGAAUAUUGGUCAAUGGGCGCUAGCCUGAACCAGCCAAGUAGCGUGCAGGAUGACUGCCCUAUGGGUUGUAAACUUCUUUUAUAUGGGAAUAAAGUGCAGUAUGUAUAGUGCUUUGCAUGUACCUUAUGAAUAAGGAUCGGCUAAAUCCGUGCCAGCAGCCGCGGUAAUAAGGAGGAUCCGGGCGUUAUCCGGAUUUAUUGGGGUUAAAGGGAGCGUAGGCGGCUGGUUAAGUCAGUUGUUAAAGUUUGUGGCUCAACCGUAGAAUUGCAGUUGAGACUGGCAUCCUUGAGUACACGAGAGGUAGGCGGAAUGCGUGGUGGAGCGGUGAAAUGCUUAGAUAUCACGAAGAACUCCGAGUGCGAAGGCAGCCUACUGAACCGGCACUGACGUUGAUGCUCGAAAGUGCGGGUAUCGAACAGGAUUAGAUACCCCGGUAGUC
rnacentral:rRNA from 1 species